rnacentral:rRNA from 1 species
GACGAACGCUGGCGGCGUGCUUAACACAUGCAAGUCGAACGGAAAGGCCCUGCUUUUGUGGGGUGCUCGAGUGGCGAACGGGUGAGUAACACGUGAGUAACCUGCCCUUGACUUUGGGAUAACUUCAGGAAACUGGGGCUAAUACCGGAUAGGAGCUCCUGCUGCAUGGUGUGGGUUGGAAAGUUUCGGCGGUUGGGGAUGGACUCGCGGCUUAUCAGCUUGUUGGUGGGGUAGUGGCUUACCAAGGCUUUGACGGGUAGCCGGCCUGAGAGGGUGACCGGCCACAUUGGGACUGAGAGACGGCGCAGACUCCUACGGGAGGCAGCAGUGGGGAAUAUGGCACAAUGGGCGGAAGCCUGAUGCAGCAACGCCGCGUGCGGGAUGACGGCCUUCGGGUUGUAAACCGCUUUCGCCUGUGACGAAGCGUGAGUGACGGUAAUGGGUAAAGAAGCACCGGCUAACUACGUG